GAUGAAGAACGUAGCGAAAUGCGAUAAGUAAUGUGAAUUGCAGAAUUCAGUGAAUCAUCGAAUCUUUGAACGCACAUUGCGCCCCCCAGUAUUCUGGCGGGCAUGCCUGUUCGAGCGUCAUUUCAACCAUCAAGCCCUGCUUGUGUUGGGGUCCUGCGGCUGCCCGCAGGCCCUGAAAACCAGUGGCGGGCUCGCUAGUCACACCGAGCGCAGUAGCACAUCUCGCUCAGGGCGUGCGGCGGGCUCCAGCCGUUAAAGCACCCACCUUUCGCAAGGUUGACCUCGGAUCAGGUAGGAAUACCCGCUGAACUUAAGCAUAUCAAUAAGCAGAGGA
rnacentral:misc_RNA from 1 species